rnacentral:rRNA from 1 species
AACGAACGCUGGCGGCAUGCCUAACACAUGCAAGUCGAACGAGACCUUCGGGUCUAGUGGCGCACGGGUGCGUAACGCGUGGGAACCUGCCCUUAGGUUCGGAAUAACUCCCCGCAAGGGGUGCUAAUACCGGAUAAUGUCUUCGGACCAAAGAUUUAUCGCCUUUGGAUGGGCCCGCGUUGGAUUAGCUAGUUGGUAGGGUAAAAGCCUACCAAGGCGACGAUCCAUAGCUGGUCUGAGAGGAUGAUCAGCCACACUGGGACUGAGACACGGCCCAGACGCCUACGGGAGGGAGCAGUGGGGAAUAUUGGACAAUGGGCGAAAGCCUGAUCCAGCAAUGCCGCGUGAGUGAUGAAGGCCUUAGGGUUGUAAAGCUCUUUUACCCGGGAUGAUAAUGACAGUACCGGGAGAAUAAGCUCCGGCUAACUCCGUG